rnacentral:snoRNA from 2 species
UUGACAGGGAUUGUGUAUCAGUGUUGUGCUACAAUCAUUGCAUUAUUCUGAAAGAGUUCCCUGUAAAACAAAUUUGGGCAGUUGUGUUUCAGUUUGCUGUUGAGAAUUACAAUAAUCAUCACCACUACAUUU